AGCUUCCACCUUCACCUUAAGCAGAUUAUAUAAAUCACCUUACAUUGUAGGCACAUUCACAACAUUGUGAGCACCCCUAGAAUCAAUGUCGGCAGAACAUCAUCAUCGCUCGUUUCAGGCGUAGGAUUCUAUUACCGUAUAAGAGCGAAUGAUUGGACACGUCGAUUGUUUAUAUAAUUGAGAUUCCUUCCACACUCAGCUACCGUGCGCUGUGUUACGCAACGGAGUUCAAUGAUUUUGACUUUGAACUUACUUUCUUUCUUGCCCGCUGAUUUACCGUGUAAAAUCGCAAAACUAUUCCACGUAAUAAGGGUCACCACUUUACAGUUUUCCUUUGCACGUUCUCACACUGUGUCACCAAAUUUGCAGACACUGCACCACUCUUUAUAACUAAUAAUCACGAUGCUUCGUCGCCGAUUUCACGACAAACUAAUUCACCGUACGGAAGUAAACUAACCCGAUUAAUCGACUGAAAUGGUUUUUGGCGUUUUCAAGUGUCACUCUGCUCGACAACAGGUUCAGAUUGGUAUGGAUUUUAUCGGUUUUUUCGCUUCCACGAUUCGUCGCCGUCUACAACCCGGACGAUGUGAACUCUGUGAAUGAAUCACAACUACUACUACUACCUACUAUCUACUACUCGAGUUGAACAAGUUCAGCAACGCGACCAACAGUUUUGUUUAUCCCGACCGUACGAAUACUUUCUCCUGUCUGUGAUAUCGAAUGUUGUAGUGUUAGAUAACGAUAUUGGAUAUUUAGAACAUGUGUUAAUUGUGGCGAAAUCGGUCAUGAUCAGUUCGGUUCAUUGAUAUUCUGAUAAUUUGAAUGAAAUUUCGCGAUAUAAGACGGUCGAUAUUAUUCCAGAACAGUUCAGCUAGAUUCCUUCGCAUUUAAUGUAAUGAAUAUACAAAUUCGAAGAAAUAUUAGAUUGACAUCGAUAUCGAUACAACUUUAAAAUGUUUCUCUCGCGCUCAUCAAGGAAAAUACUAAUGUGAUUGGAGAACGGAAUACACUCAUUGCUCUAAAUUCAGCCAGAUUCGAUAAAAUUUUCCGAAGAAUCAAUAGGGUGCAGUUUACGAAAUUUAUAUUUUAGUUUCUAGAGGACCAAUGCCAUAAAGGAUGAUUCGAUAAACCUUGCGACGCUUUCAAACAUA